AGCAGUCGCCGCGGUAAUACGUAGGGUGCGAGCGUUAAUCGGAAUUACUGGGCGUAAAGCGUGCGCAGGCGGUUCGGAAAGAGAGAUGUGAAAUCCCAGGGCUUAACCUUGGAACUGCAUUUUUAACUACCGGACUAGAGUGUGUCAGAGGGAGGUGGAACUCCGCGUGUAGCAGUGAAAUGCGUAGAGAUGCGGAGGAACACCGAUGGCGAAGGCAGCCUCCUGGGAUAACACUGACGCUCAUGCACGAAAGCGUGGGGAGCAAACAGGAUUAGAUACCCCCGUAGUCCCUGUCUCUUAUAC
rnacentral:rRNA from 1 species